GGGCGAGUAGCUCAGUUGGUUAGAGCGUACGGUUCACAUCCGUAAGGUCACAGGUUCGAGUCCUGUCUCGCCCA
rnacentral:tRNA from 1 species